UGUCAUGUAGAGGACCUAGUAACACAGCAGAAAUGGCCACCCUUUUAACUAGACUGUUUGGAGGUGCUAGCUGGUUGAUGACACCCUCCCCAGAGUAAUAAGUCAUUCUAGGAAUAAACCGUACUAGAACACAAAAUCCCUCAAUUGUAUUUACUAACCAGGCCAUAAACGCAUGGAGUAAGUCCCAAGGUACAACCCCAUCAAACAUUCUCUUGGGAGGAGCAUCAGUAUCCUGCGACAGUAGGGGUUACAGUGUAGUUGCAAAAGUGAGAAUAGGUUGGGGGUACCGAUGCAGAGUCCCUGGGGGAGAGGCCAUCUCUCAAAGAUGUGAAGAUAAAACCUGGAUUGGAUUGGAGACCCCAAGAUGUUGGAGAUACCAAAACCCUGAAUUACCCACUGAGGAGAGUUGCAGACCAGUGGUUCCUCUACACUGUAGAAUAUAUGUGAUUAUGCUGGGAAGAUGGC
rnacentral:lncRNA from 1 species